GAUGAACGCUGGCGGCGUGCCUAAUACAUGCAAGUCGAGCGAACGGACGAGAAGCUUGCUUCUCUGAUGUUUGCGGCGGACGGGUGAGUAACACGUGGAUAACCUACCUAUAAGUCUGAGAUCACUUCGGGAAACCGUAGCUAAUACCGUAUAAUCUUUUGAACCGCAUGGUUCAAAAGUGAAAUACGGUCUUGCUGUCACUUAUAGCUGGAUCCGCGCUGCAUUAGCUAGUUGGUAAGGUAACGGCUUACCAAGGCGACGAUGCAUAGCCGACGUGAGAGGGGGAUCGGCCACACGGGAACUGAGACAAGGACAAGGAUCCUAAGGGAGGGAGCAGUAGGGAAUCUGCCGCAAUGGGCGAAAGCCUGACGGAGCAAAGCCGCGUGAGUGAUGAAGGUGUUCGGAUCGUAAAACUCGGUUAUGAGGGAAGAACAUAUGUGGAAGGAAAUGUGGACAUCUUGACGGUAACUAAUCAGAAAGCCACGGCUAACUACGUG
rnacentral:rRNA from 1 species